rnacentral:misc_RNA from 1 species
AUCUCCAGCUCUCUAUCAAUCUCAAGAGCGAGGUCAGCGGCAGAUUGGGCUACAGAAGUAAGGAGGCGGGACACGGAGUAUCAGCGUUCAAUACUCGGUGGUCUUCUUGGCCUCAAAUAUCAACUGUUCACUUCAAAGCCGUCGUUAGCGUUGCACCACGCAUCCCUAGCGAAACUGUCAAAGUCGCCGCGCCGGAAGGCACCCACAGUGAUUGCGUGGCGAAAGGGGAUUGGGCGCCUGUGCA